rnacentral:rRNA from 1 species
ACUCAAAUGAAUAGACGGGGACCCGCACAAGCGGUGGAACAUGUGGUUUAAUUCGAGGCAACGCGAAGAACCUUACCAGGAUUUGACAUGCCCUCUAUGGAAAUCAGAAACGAUUUCCUUCACUUCGGGUGGGAGGAGCACAGGUGCUGCAUGGCUGUCGUCAGCUCGUGUCGUGAGAUGUUGGGUUAAGUCCCGCAACGAGCGCAACCCUCAUUCUCUGUUGCUAACAGGUUAAGCUGAGCACUCUGAGAAAACUGCCGGUGAUAAGCCGGAGGAAGGUGGGGAUGACGUCAAGUCCUCAUGGCCCUUACAUCCUGGGCUACACACGUGUUACAAUGGCGGUGACAAUGGGCAGCGAACCCGCAAGGGGGAGCUAAUCUCCAAAAGCCGCCUCAGUUCAGAUUGUACUCUGCAACUCGAGUGCAUGAAGCUGGAAUCGCUAGUAAUCGUGGAUCAGAACGCCACGGUGAAUACGUUCCCGGGUCUUGUACACACCGCCCGU